rnacentral:rRNA from 1 species
GACGAACGCUGGCGGCGUGCUUAACACAUGCAAGUCGAACGGAAAGGCCCUGCUUGCAGGGUACUCGAGUGGCGAACGGGUGAGUAACACGUGGGUGAUCUGCCCUGCACUUCGGGAUAAGCUUGGGAAACUGGGUCUAAUACCGGAUAGGAGCCAUCUUUAGUGUGGUGGUUGGAAAGUUUUUUCGGUGUAGGAUGAGCUCGCGGCCUAUCAGCUUGUUGGUGGGGUAAUGGCCUACCAAGGCGGCGACGGGUAGCCGGCCUGCGAGGGUGUACGGCCACAUUGGGCCUGAGAUACGGCCCAGACUCCUACGGGGGGCAGCAGUGGGGAAUAUUGCACAAUGGGCGCAAGCCUGAUGCAGCGACGCCGCGUGGGGGAUGAAGGCCUUCGGGUUGUAAACUCCUUUCGCUAGGGACGAAGCUUUGUUGUGACGGUACCUAGAUAAGAAGCACCGGCUAACUACGUG